rnacentral:rRNA from 1 species
AUUGAACGCUGGCGGCAUGCCUUACACAUGCAAGUCGAGCGGCAGCGCGGGGGCAACCCUGGCGGCGAGCGGCGAACGGGUGAGUAAUGCAUCGGAACGUGUCCUUUUGUGGGGGAUAACCAGUCGAAAGACUGGCUAAUACCGCAUGAGCUCGAGAGAGGAAAGCAGGGGACCCGAGGGUAACUUCGGGCCUUGCGCGAGAGGAGCGGCCGAUGCCCGAUUAGCAGUUGGUGAGGUAACGGCUCACCAAGGCGACGACCGGUAGCUGGUUUGAGAGAACGACCAGCCACACUGGGACUGAGACACGGCCCAGACUCCUACGGGAGGCAGCAGUGGGGAAUUUUGGACAAUGGGGGCAACCCUGACUCAGCCAUGCCGCGUGUGUGAAGAAGGCU